UACGUAGGUGGCAAGCGUUGUCCGGAUUUAUUGGGCGUAAAGCGCGCGCAGGCGGUCCUUUAAGUCUGAUGUGAAAGCCCACGGCUCAACCGUGGAGGGUCAUUGGAAACUGGGGGACUUGAGUGCAGAAGAGGAAAGUGGAACUCCACGUGUAGCGGUGAAAUGCGUAGAGAUGUGGAGGAACACCAGUGGCGAAGGCGACUUUCUGGUCUGUAACUGACGCUGAGGCGCGAAAGCGUGGGGAGCAAACAGG
rnacentral:rRNA from 1 species